GAUUGCAACGGGGAGGAGAGGGCCGUUCCCAUCUGGAGGAACGCGGGACGGCCGCUCUCUGUUUCGAGGCUCGUCUCACCUCGUCCUCACCUUUACUUUGCCCCCCUGGAGACGGCCUCACUCCUAUGCGGCACACGCAGCAGCUCCGGCCCGCCCAGCGCUGCUGUGUGCCGUGCGGGGCGGGGAGGCGCACUGGAAGGAACGGAUGGAGGGGCUGCUCGGGCUGCUGUGACCUCAGGGAGCCGCCGUGUGCCACGGGAGCGCAUUGCAGCCGCGCUGUGAGCACGAGGAGGUCUGUGCUGAGGACAGAGGCUGUGCCAGCAUGGCACGCUGGUUCUGGCUCUGUGUGCUGCCAAAGCCAUCUAGGUUGCUCCUGUGCCACCAACAGAUCAGGGAGCUGAUGAGCAGAAGCACUGAUGUGAGGUUCACACAGAGCUCAGGGGCUGAGGAUGGAGCCCACCCCCCCCCCC
ensembl:lncRNA